GAACGCGAAAAUCCCGCAAGGGAUCAGUAGAGUGGCAAACGGGUGAGUAACGCGUGGGCGACCUACCUUCGAGUGGGGGAUAACCUUCCGAAAGGAGGGCUAAUACCGCAUGACAUCCUGCUUUUGGAUAAGUGGAAAUCAAAGCUGGGGAUCGCAAGACCUGGCGCUUGAAGAGGGGCCCGCGUCCGAUUAGCUAGUUGGUGAGGUAACGGCUCACCAAGGCUCCGAUCGGUAUCCGGCCUGAGAGGGCGGACGGACACACUGGGACUGAGACACGGCCCAGACUCCUACGGGAGGCAGCAGUGGGGAAUUGUUCGCAAUGGGCGCAAGCCUGACGACGCAACGCCGCGUGGAGGAUGAAGACCUUCGGGUCGUAAACUCCUUUCGACCAAGAUGAACACCUCUAGAUUUAAAAGAUUGAGAGACUGACAGUAUUGGGAGAAGAAGCCCCGGCUAACUCCGUGCCAGCAGCCGCGGUAAUACGGGGGGGGCAAGCGUUGUUCGGAAUUACUGGGCGUAAAGGGUUCGUAGGUGGCCAACUAAGUCAGACGUGAAAUCCCUCAGCUUAACUGGGGAACUGCGUCUGAUACUGGUUGGCUUGAGUGCAGGAGAGGAAUGCGGAAUUCCAGGUGUAGCGGUGAAAUGCGUAGAUAUCUGGAGGAACACCGGUGGCGAAGGCGGCAUUCUGGACUGCAACUGACACUGAAGAACGAAAGCCAGGGGAGCAAACGGGAUUAGAUACCCCGGUAGUCCUGGCCCUAAACG
rnacentral:rRNA from 1 species